CUUGUAGGCGGUUUGUCGCGUCUGCUGUGAAAUUUCGGGGCUCAACCCCGAACUUGCAGUGGGUACGGGCAGACUAGAGUGUGGUAGGGGAGACUGGAAUUCCUGGUGUAGCGGUGAAAUGCGCAGAUAUCAGGAGGAACACCGAUGGCGAAGGCAGGUCUCUGGGCCACUACUGACGCUGAGAAGCGAAAGCAUGGGGGAGCGAACA
rnacentral:rRNA from 1 species